CCUACGGGAGGCAGCAGUGGGGAAUAUUGCACAAUGGGCGCAAGCCUGAUGCAGCGACGCCGCGUGGGGGAUGACGGCCUUCGGGUUGUAAACUCCUUUCGCUAGGGACGAAGCUUUUUGUGACGGUACCUAGAUAAGAAGCACCGGCUAACUACGUGCCAGCAGCCGCGGUAAUACGUAGGGUGCGAGCGUUGUCCGGAAUUACUGGGCGUAAAGGGCUCGUAGGUGGUUUGUCGCGUCGUCUGUGAAAUUCCGGGGCUUAACUCCGGGCGUGCAGGCGAUACGGGCAUAACUUGAGUACUGUAGGGGUAACUGGAAUUCCUGGUGUAGCGGUGAAAUGCGCAGAUAUCAGGAGGAACACCGAUGGCGAAGGCAGGUUACUGGGCAGUUACUGACGCUGAGGAGCGAAAGCAUGGGUAGCGAACAGGAUUAGAUACCCUGGUAGUCCAUGCCGUAAACGGUGGGCGCUAGGUGUGAGGGUCUUUUCACGACUUUCGUGCCGUAGCUAACGCAUUAAGCGCCCCGCCUGGGGAGUACGGCCGCAAGGCUAAAACUCAAAUGAAUUGACGGGG
rnacentral:rRNA from 1 species